rfam:Gossypium arboreum cultivar AKA8401 contig_33119_3, whole genome shotgun sequence.
AUUCCAUGAUGAGGGCACUUUUGUAACAAUUGUUUAAACCUUUCCCACGCUUUAUACAAGGACUCGUCAUCGAUUUGUUGGAAGGUAGUAAUCUCAUUCUGCAACU